CUAACAACUGGUCACUGUUUUAAAGGAUGACUACAAACUAAUUCAUUGUUUUGAAAACUGAUUUAAAAAGCAAAGUAGUGGGGAGUGACUUAAGCAAUUAUCUUGCCUUUCCUAAACAAACCAUUGAAUAACUAAACAAAAAAUCAGGGGAAAUGUCUCUUUAUAUAACUAUUCCAGCUUUAUUAAAUGAAGAAAGAAGGAUGCAAUUAGAAUGUCACCAUUUUGGGACCCGUAAUGGAUUACUGGCUAUAGGUAUUGAGGAUCAAUAGCUGCUAACACCACAGAAAAAGAGACAAACAGAAAAUAAUAGGCUUCAAAUAGAACACACCAUCUUGCCAAAAUCAUUAAAUUUAUCUGGUCAAAAAAACUUAAAACUUGAUUUUGAUCAAGCCUGUACAUUACUACAAUUUACAGAAAAUACAGAGGACAACAGAACAUCUUAGACUAUAGCACAUGAUGCAGACAGCAAAACCCAUGCUGUGUGCAACUCUACAGGACAAACAACUUCAUUUUCUUUAACAAGUGAGUUGGAAGAGAAAACAGGAGAGGGUACCCAUAUAUUAAAAGAAACUUAGGAGACAUAUCAACCCAUCACAAUGUGUUUUCUUCCUUGGAUCUUGAUUCAAAUAAGUUAAAAAACAAAAUGAACAAAAAAAAAGUUUAUGGCUUUUAGUUGGUAGUAUUUAAAAAAAGAAAAAAGCAGCAAUGUAAAAACCCUCUAAGGCCAGUUACAAAAUAAUUCAAUACCCUUGCAGUGAAAUGUAUGUCAGCUACAUAUAGGUAUUAUAUGUAACUUGAAAAGAUAUCCAUAAUGUAAUAUUAAACUAAAAAACAAGUGGUAAACAAUAUGUACUGUACAAUGACAUUUUAGCAUGCAUGCGUGCUUUCCCAGUAAGCAUGCACCUACUAAAGUUUUAUGUUUCCUACACUCAUUUAAAAAAUGUACAUUUAAAAAUUUACUAAUUGCAUGUAGCCUUUUAGUAGUUUUCUAUUGGCUUCAAUAUAGAAAAACAUUCUCCUGUCUUUGCGAUAAGAGGUCUGGGUUAAGGAAGUUGGCAGUAUUAGAAGGGAGAAACUGAACCAUGCAAGGUAACAUGAGUAGCAGGAUUUUUUAAAAAAAACAAUUUUAAGGCAAAGAAGUGAAGAAAGAAAAGAAUCAUAAUCCAGGCUAAAGUGGUAUGCUUAGAGGAACAGGUUAAAAGUGGAAUAGGCAAUAGAGAUUAAAUGAAAGGUAUGCAGAGAUUUUAGUGACAAGGUUCAUUUGGAAAAAUGCAAAAAGACACCAACAUUUCCUAACUUCUUCUUUGCUAUCUCCUCCUCAGCGUUCUCCUUAACAGUGUGAAACUCCCAACAUUCAGAGCUGAGUUGACCCUUUACUGGCUGGAGCCGGACUCCAGUUGAGUCCUAUGAGGCUGCCAGAUACACUAUUUGCGUUGGGACACUUCUUGUCCCCUGUAGGAGGGUGGGGAACUGGGCACAAUUAGAUGGAGUUUAAUGAGGGUGACAUUUGCUGAAAGUUAGAGCUUAAAAUCCCAUUAUUACUGUGGAACACACGAUGGGAGGGCAGAAAGCAGUUUUCUGUCAUCUGCAAGGGCAGGGAUACACAGACAAAGAGGGGAAAAUACACAGGGCCUACAAGUUAAAAAAAACUCACCAAACUAGAACAAAAAUAAAUAACUCUGGCCAAUAACAUGUUAGCCAUUUUCUCUAACUACGCUAGAGAAGUUAUCUCAACUCUCUUAUCUCUCUCUGGAGAUAAUAUCUGCUAUCUGAUAAGACAUUUCUUCAUUUUACCUUUCCUCUCAGAUCAUUCAGCUUCCUCUCCAAGUUCUUCAGUACAGACAGCCUCUUUCCUAUACUCUGGGAUGCUCCUAUACCCAGGCCUGGAGUUCUUGGGCAGGAUGGUCAGGAUCAGUAGUUCCAAGACGUGUUCCUUGCUGUGUAUCACUGGUCUCCACCACUGAUGGCAAAGAACCUGAAGCUGGACCCUUGAGGCCCAAGUAAAUACCCACCAUAUCCUCUCUGAAGAACUCCUGACCAGAAGCUCCCUUUCUGUGUGGGCUAGAUUCUUUAACUAUUUGACACUUCUUUCAUUCUUCUGCAGUUGGUCUGAAUGCAUUCCUGGGUGAAACAGCUCAGAAGACUGGCUCACUGCAGCAGUGCGUAUGCUUCAGGCUGAUGCUAAGGCAUAACACAUCAUUGUUGAGAUCAGCUCCAAACUGGAACAUAUUUACUGAGUGAAUGG
rnacentral:lncRNA from 10 species